UCGGCCUUAGUGGCGCACGGGUGCGUAACGCGUGGGAAUCUGCCCUUAGGUGCGGAAUAACAGUUAGAAAUGACUGCUAAUACCGCAUAAUGACUCCGGUCCAAAGAUUUAUCGCCUAAGGAUGAGCCCGCGUAGGAUUAGCUUGUUGGUGAGGUAAAAGCUCACCAAGGCGACGAUCCUUAGCUGGUCUGAGAGGAUGAUCAGCCACACUGGGACUGAGACACGGCCCAGACUCCUACGGGAGGCAGCAGUGGGGAAUAUUGGACAAUGGGCGAAAGCCUGAUCCAGCAAUGCCGCGUGAGUGAUGAAGGCCUUAGGGUUGUAAAGCUCUUUUACCCGGGAAGAUAAUGACUGUACCGGGAGAAUAAGCCCCGGCUAACUCCGUGCCAGCAGCCGCGGUAAUACGGAGGGGGCUAGCGUUGUUCGGAAUUACUGGGCGUAAAGCGCACGUAGGCGGCUUUGCAAGUUAGAGGUGAAAGCCCGGAGCUCAACUCCGGAAUUGCCUUUAAAACUGCAUCGCUAGAAUUGUGGAGAGGUGAGUGGAAUUCCGAGUGUAGAGGUGAAAUUCGUAGAUAUUCGGAAGAACACCAGUGGCGAAGGCGACUCACUGGACACAUAU
rnacentral:rRNA from 1 species